GGCGGCGGCGGCCGAGCUUCGGGGAGGAGGCGGCUUCCGGGAGGGGGCGCACGCUCCCCUGCCAUCGCCCUUUACCUGACCUGAAGCUUCUUCGCUUCUCGCCCCUCAGCCCGGGGAGUGGGAGGCCUCUCUCUCCUGCCCCAAGGGGCUGCCCGUCGCGUGAGGAGCUCCCAGCGCAUAGCUCCGAGGGUCCCCGCCUUGCCCAUCUCUAACCCCCUGCAGCCCCUAAUCGCAAGGAGCCCCGGACCCCUUUCCGCAAGAAGCUCCUUCCUGUCAUCCGGUCCCGGGAGUUCCCCGUGUACGCGCGAGCCUCCCUCGCCCCUAACGCCUUGCCCCCGGUCCCCCGCUCACUCCGUGACCCGAGGAGCCCCCCAGCCGCCACCCUGGGGCCCAGCCCUCCUCUCCAACUGCUUCCUCCACGGGCCUCGCCAUCGCCCGCGAAGUAGCUUUGCGCUCCCUGAGACCCUCGCCUUCUGGGGCGGGAGACCCUCUCUCCUCGGGUCAGCCGCUGCACCCGGCCCCGCUGCUUCGCGCGGCGCGGAGGCAGAGGGUGUGUGAAGGGAACCUCUUGUCUUCCACGUGUCUUUCGUGCUCUUCCCUUUCUGUCUCGGAAACAGAAGCCAGAAGGUCUCACCCCUGGAUCUAAGGGGCAUGGGGGUGGGGGGCGGGAAUGAAGAUUCCCCAGAGAAGCGUGAUGAUGCACAACUGUAUUGGCUGCUAGGAUACAAGGCACUUUCAAAAUUCUGUAACUUCAGGUCUGAUUACAGUGAAGACCGGGGAAACAAGGCAUUCUCUCCCUGGGAUUUCCGUGAGGAGCUGCACCUCGGGUAUCACAGCGCAAGUGGGGAGUAGCCUGCUGAAACAUCGACACUGCCAAUCUAGCUGGAGCCGCAGUGUGGGAAGAUAACUCACGUUUUAUUGAGUGCUCAUUGUGUGCCAGAGGUGAGUGCAGGCUGGACCCACCACUUGCUGGAGCCUUCAUUUGGAAGGUAUGAGGACUGCAUGAGUUGAUAUAUGUAAAGCUGCACUAAAGCAUCCACACUGUAGCUGCUUUGCGUAUUUCAUGACCUGGUCCCUUUUUUCUCCCCACUUUUUCAUAUUCACUGCAUUUCAUUCGCUGGUAUUCUUUUAGUUCCUGGUAUAGUAUUGGUCUGUGUUCAUGCUGUUCUCUGCCUGAAAUAAUCUUUCUCAUUCUCACCUUCUUCUGUUUUCACUUAAAUGUUGGUUCUCCUGGGAAGUAUUCUCUAACCACCUGUCACCCACCAUCCUAUUCCCUAAUCUUUCCAUGUGAAAGCUUUUUUCCCGUAUAGAAUAUACACUCUUAGCACAUAUAAGCCACUCCAAAAAAAUCUUUUUGAGUACAUGGAUGUUUUUUAACAUAGUCAUGUGUACAUGUUUUAAUCUUCACUCAGACUGGACUGUAAGCUUCUUGAGAGUUAGGAUUGUGUAUUUUAUUUGUUUGUACCGCCUCUACUAGGCCUUAGACAUAGAUGUAAUAAAAAAUGUCCUGAAUGAAUGGAACCUAAUAGGUUCUGCACUUGACGUCCUGCCAAAUCCCCUUUUGCGCAUGCUCUCAAAUUUAAAUAUCUGGAGAGCCAGGACCAAAACUGGCCAGCAGAGGGCAACCGACAACUACGUUGUGAAGAGAAGAAGGCCCUAUGGUUUACAAAA